rnacentral:rRNA from 1 species
AGACCCGAAACCCGGUGAUCUAGCCAUGGGCAGGUUGAAGGUUGGGUAACACUAACUGGAGGACCGAACCGACUAAUGUUGAAAAAUUAGCGGAUGACCUGUGGCUGGGGGUGAAAGGCCAAUCAAACCGGGAGAUAGCUGGUUCUCCCCGAAAGCUAUUUAGGUAGCGCCUCGUGAAUUCAUCUCCGGGGGUAGAGCACUGUUUCGGCUAGGGGGCCAUCCCGGCUUACCAACCCGAUGCAAACUGCGAAUACCGGAGAAUGUUAUCACGGGAGACACACGGCGGGUGCUAACGUCCGUCGUGAAGAGGGAAACAACCCAGACCGCCAGCUAAGGUCCCAAAGUCAUGGUUAAGUGGGAAACGAUGUGGGAAGGCCCAGACAGCCAGGAUGUUGGCUUAGAAGCAGCCAUCAUUUAAAGAAAGCGUAAUAGCUCACUGGUCGAGUCGGCCUGCGCGGAAGAUGUAACGGGGCUAAACCAUGCACCGAAGCUGCGGCAGCGAACGUAUCACUUAAAGCGAUUCAGCGGGUUACGAUUGACGGAGCGAAGCGACGUCAAAGCGUAUACAAAGUCGAGUCGGUUUAAGGAUACGUUCGUUGGGUAGGGGAGCGUUCUGUAAGCCUGUGAAGGUGUGUCGUGAGGCAUGCUGGAGGUAUCAGAAGUGCGAAUGCUGACAUAAGUAACGAUAAAGCGGGUGAAAAGCCCGCUCGCCGGAAGACCAAGGGUUCCUGUCCAACGUUAAUCGGGGCAGGGUGAGUCGACCCCUAAGGCGAGGCCGAAAGGCGUAGUCGAUGGGAAACGGGUUAAUAUUCCCGUACUUGGUGUUACUGCGAAGGGGGGACGGAGAAGGCUAUGUUGGCCGGGCGACGGUUGUCCCGGUUUAAGCGUGUAGGCUGGUUUUCCAGGCAAAUCCGGAAAAUCAAGGCUGAG